rnacentral:tRNA from 1 species
GUGGCAAUAGCUCAGUGGUAGAGCCCCCCUCGCGUGCGGGGAUACCCGGGUUCGAUUCCCGGCUGCUUCC